rnacentral:rRNA from 1 species
UUGGUGGCGACCGGCGCACGGGUGAGUAACGCGUAUGCAACCUACUUAUCAGAGGGGAAUAACCCGGCGAAAGUCGGACUAAUACCGCAUAAAACAGGGACACCGCAUGGUGAUAUUUGUUAAAGAACUUCGCUGAUAGAUGGGCAUGCGUUCCAUUAGGUAGUUGGUGAGGUAACGGCUCACCAAGCCGACGAUGGAUAGGGGAACUGAGAGGUUGGUCCCCCACACUGGUACUGAGACACGGACCAGACUCCUACGGGAGGCAGCAGUGAGGAAUAUUGGUCAAUGGGCGAGAGCCUGAACCAGCCAAGUCGCGUGAAGGAAGAAGGAUCUAUGGUUCGUAAACUUCUUUUGCAGGGGAAUAAAGUGCAGGACGUGUCCUGUUUUGUAUGUACCCUGAGAAUAAGGAUCGGCUAACUUUGUGCCAACAGCCGCGGUAAUACGGAGGAUCCGAGUGUUAUCCGCAUUUAUUGGGUUUAAAG